rnacentral:lncRNA from 1 species
CUUGAGGGCUCAGUGAGGCCGAGGAAAGGCCCUAAUAUUUACAUCCAGACGCCUCCGGCUGCCGCGGGUGCCAGACUGUGGGAGUGAUGAGCCCCCAGACAGCGCCUCCCCACCCAGAGCUCUGCUGGGCCAGACCAGAGACCGAGAACUGGGCACCUGGGGGCCCUGGUUUGAGCCCCCUCCCUGACCACCCCCAAAGCCUAAGUUUCUCCUCUAGGAAUGGAGGUGGUCAUCUCACCCUCCCAGGUUCAGUGAAGGGGCCACUCAGUGGCACUUAGUAGGCCCACAGGGAGGCCAGUGCUCCCUCUCCCUGGUGUGUUGGACCAGCUGUCCUAUCCCCUCCCUCUCCCUCUAGGCCAUAUCUCUGCUGAUAUGAUAGGACUCAGUGGCUGUGGGUGGUCUGGCUGCCUCGCCCACCUCCACGUCCUUGCCCUGGGUAGGCAGGUUCGGGAUCAGGGAUGGAGCGCCUUGUUCUGCUGGUCCAUGCCCCCCACCCAGCUGCUGUGCCCACACCCUGCUGGCAAGUCAGCCACUUGUGCCCCCUCCAUCCCCUGC